AGGACCAAGAAGCAGUUUCAGCAGCAGC
rnacentral:piRNA from 1 species